rnacentral:rRNA from 1 species
UACGUAGGGGGCGAGCGUUGUCCGGAUUUAUUGGGCGUAAAGAGCGUGUAGGCGGCCAGGUAGGUCUGCUGUGAAAACUCGAGGCUCAACCUCGAGACGUCGGCGGAAACCAUCUGGCUAGAGUCCGGAAGAGGAGAGUGGGAUUCCUGAUGUAGCGGUGAAAUGCGCAGAUAUCAGGAAGAACACCCGUGGCGAAGGCGGCUCUCUGGGACGGUACUGACGCUGAGACGCGAAAGCGUGGGGAGCGAACAGG